CUGGCGGCGUGCCUAAUACAUGCAAGUCGAGCGAGCUGAAUUCAAAGAUUCCUUCGGGAUGAUUUGUUGGACGCUAGCGGCGGAUGGGUGAGUAACACGUGGGCAAUCUGCCCUAAAGACUGGGAUACCACUUGGAAGCAGGUGCUAAUACCGGAUAACAACAUGAAUCGCAUGAUUCAAGUUUGAAAGGCGGCGCAAGCUGUCACUUUAGGAUGAGCCCGCGGCGCAUUAGCUAGUUGGUGGGGUAAAGGCCUACCAAGGCAAUGAUGCGUAGCCGAGUUGAGAGACUGAUCGGCCACAUUGGGACUGAGACACGGCCCAAACUCCUACGGGAGGCAGCAGUAGGGAAUCUUCCACAAUGGACGCAAGUCUGAUGGAGCAACGCCGCGUGAGUGAAGAAGGUUUUCGGAUCGUAAAGCUCUGUUGUUGGUGAAGAAGGAUAGAGGCAGUAACUGGUCUUUAUUUGACGGUAAUCAACCAGAAAGUCACGGCUAACUACGUGCCAGCAGCCGCGGUAAUACGUAGGUGGCAAGCGUUGUCCGGAUUUAUUGGGCGUAAAGCGAGCGCAGGCGGAAUGAUAAGUCUGAUGUGAAAGCCCACGGCUCAACCGUGGAACUGCAUCGGAAACUGUCAUUCUUGAGUGCAGAAGAGGAGAGUGGAACUCCAUGUGUAGCGGUGGAAUGCGUAGAUAUAUGGAAGAACACCAGUGGCGAAGGCGGCUCUCUGGUCUGCAACUGACGCUGAGGCUCGAAAGCAUGGGUAGCGAACAGGAUUAGAUACCCUGGUAGUCCAUGCCGUAAACGAUGAGCGCUAGGUGUUGGGGACUUUCCGGUCCUCAGUGCCGCAGCAAACGCAUUAAGCGCUCCGCCUGGGGAGUACGACCGCAAGGU
rnacentral:rRNA from 1 species